UUGGAGGGCAAGUCUGGUGCCAGCAGCCGCGGUAAUUCCAGCUCCAAUAGCGUAUAUUAAAGUUGUUGCAGUUAAAAAGCUCGUAGUUGAAUUUCGGGGUUCCACCGUUGGUCGGGCAAUAGUCUGUACUGGCGUGUAGAAUUUCUACCUUCUGGGGAACUAUCAUGUUAUUUAUUUAGCGUGGUAGGAAACCAGGACCUUUACCUUGAAAAAAUUAGAGUGUUCAAAGCAGGCUUACGUCUGAAUACAUUAGCAUGGAAUAAUAAAAUAGGACGGUGGUCCUGUUUUGUUGGUUUCUGAAUCACCGUAAUGAUUAAUAGGGAUAGUUGGGGGCAUUAGUAUUCAAUUGUCAGAGGUGAAAUUCUUGGAUUUAUUGAAGACUAACUUCUGCGAAAGCAUUUGCCAAGGAUGUUUUCAUUAAUCAAGAACGAAAGUUAGGGGAUCGAAGACGAUCAGAUACCGUCGUAGUCUUAACCAUAAACUAUGCCGACUAGGGAUCGGACGAUGUUAAUUUUUCUUGACUCGUUCGGCGCCUUACGGGAAAC
rnacentral:rRNA from 1 species